UCCUGGGUUCUCUCCCACCUCUGGGAGGGAAGCAGGGGCUAGUGGGUUAGAGCAGGGGGGCUGGGAGCCCAGACUCCUGGGUUCUCUCCCACCUCUGGGAGAGGAGUGGGGUCUGGGGAUUACUUACUAAUUAUUUCUUGCCUUAUUUGCCAACUCUAAAAUAAUUGCUCACUGCGAUCCUCCUGAGAUAGUUUCCUCGGCUAAAAUGACGUUUCCUCCCCCUGUCGAAGCUCUAUUCUCUAAUCGGUCCAUCUCCCACAGCCAGCAGCACUGGAAGGAGCAAGUGGCCGACUGUCAAAUUAGGAACCGAGUGAUUACGUUUGCAAUCAUUAGCCCUAUCCUAGGAAAUUAUAUAGCGCUUCUUCUCGUUUGCUCUCAAUGCUUUCCAAUAAUUAGCCAUUUCACAAAGAUUUAUGUGCCGCCUAGAAAAUCUUUUUUGCAACUAGAAAUUACAUUUAACAAUUGGUCAGAAUUGUAUAAUUAUUAGUCUCUUAAUAAUAAUAGUAUUUAGUAAUUAAUCACCAUUUUCUAAUGAGUAAUUCAAUCAAGAUCCUGAGCUCUGCGGCAUUAAAUGCCGCUUAAAUCUUUCCUCACCAUCUAACGAGCAGCAGAUCCACAUCGGAGAUCAUGAGGAGUCAUUUGAUAAUUGGCAACAAGGUGUGGCUACUUAAGCAGAGUUGGGAUCUUUAUUUUAAUAUUGUAAUCAGAGAAUUAAUACUACAGUGAUCACUGUAACCCUUUGCUGUUAAAUCAGUCAAGUAGUGAUCGUUGGCUUACAACAAUCACUGCACAAGUCAUUAUUUUGUUGCUAAUUAUACCAACCUACAGCUCAGAGAGGAGUGGGUGGAGUGGGGUCUAGUGGUGAGAGCAGGGGAGGUCAGGGGCCCGGACACCUGGGUUCUGACAAUCCUACACAGGGUCCCUGAACCGGCCCCCUCUGCUUGUGGCUCCCUGUUCAUUUACUCAGCCAGGGACCGCAGGCAGCGGGAGCUGAGGGAAGGGCAGGGCAGGGCAGGGGAUGGGGCAGCCAGAGCCGGCACAGGGCGGUGCCCACCGAGGGACGCGGCUGGAGAACUGGCACCGAUACGGACAGUGGACUCCUCCAUAAAGUAGAAAGCACUACUAAACCACCGUGUCCCGUGUAGUGUUUCCUACUUUAUGGAUGAGUGUACUGUGAGCAACGGGAGGAGAGACCGUCGCGCCGCAGGGGCUGGGGACCCAGGAGUCCGGGCCGGGGCUGAGUGGGGGUGGGAGCCAGGAGUCCAAGACCCCGGGGUCUGGGAGGAGAAACGGGGGGAGUGGUUCCCAGCGCCAGAGGUGGGGGUGUUGGUGGAACGGGACCCAGGAGUCCGGGUCUCGUGGCUGGGUGUGGGAAGAGGACCCGGGCACCUGGAGGACAAAGAAGAUCCUGGGGGCACGACCCAGGCACCCAGGCACUGGAGAAGAGCAAGGAGCCAAGGGAAGCCGUCCGUGGUGUCAGAAUGGAAGGACCCAGAAGUCCGAGACUUGGGGGUGAAAAGCCCCCUGAGAGUCCCGGGGAUUCAGCAGCUGGAGAAAUGAAGGUAUCAGAAACCCAAACUUGCGGAGCACCCAGAGUCUGCUCGGACCCUGGCCUGGAAAAGGGGGGGGGGGGAAUGGUUUCAGAUCUUUGGUGGGGCAAAACAGCUAUAGACGGUUGUUAUCCACACAAACCCAGGGAGGAGGGAUCUAGGGACUGUACCUCAGCCAGCAUCUGGAUUCAAAUAAACUGCUGCAUUAAAAGACAAA